UACAGGGGGGGCAAGCGUUGUUCGGAAUUACUGGGCGUAAAGGGCGUGUAGGCGGCCGAGUAAGUCCGACGUGAAAUCCCUAGGCUUAACCUAGGAACUGCGUCGGAUACUGAUUGGCUUGAAUCCGGGAGAGGGAUGCGGAAUUCCAGGUGUAGCGGUGAAAUGCGUAGAUAUCUGGAGGAACACCGGUGGCGAAGGCGGCAUCCUGGACCGGCAUUGACGCUGAAGCGCGAAAGCGUGGGGAGCAAACAGG
rnacentral:rRNA from 1 species